UGAAAACCCCAUUCAGCUGCAGCUUUUAUCGACAAAAUAGGUGUUUGGACGAUAAUUUUAGCCCAGUUUUUUUUUUAAAUAGCGUGAUUCUUUCAAAGAAUCACGCACGGUAUCUCUAUUUGGAAAGGGAACAUGUAGAAUUGAACCAGGAGACAGUAAGGCUAUUUUGACAUUGUCGUUGAGGUUCCUCUGUUGUUCCAUAUUUUACCUACCACUGUUAGCAGCCUCCCCGAGGUUUGAAUCAAUAACAAAAUAACAUGAUAAAUAGCAUAAAGAUGUGAACAAAUAUGAUAAUAAGUUCGCUAACAAGGUCUUCUUGCAGCGAGCUAACUAUGAUAAAUGUGCUGUAGAGAAGGAUGCCUUAGAUGCAGGCUUUGGAUGAUGACAGAUGUCUUAGAAGAUUCCUUUACUCAAAUUCUUGUACCUCAGGGAAUUUUCCAAACCUCAAUAUUUCAACGACGAACCAAACCUUUACAAUUAAAAUAUUUUACCCUGCUCUCUAUAACUGCAUUGCAUAUUGAUUAACCUUUUUUUUUAAUUGUUUCAAAAUUUCCUUGAGAUUCCCAUUUUCACCCUAGCCUUUCCGUGGGGUUUGCAACAAUACAAAUGGUGUCUGAACGAUAAUUAGUUUGUAAAGUGGACGUUAGCAUGCAACUUGGCAAGUUUUCUAUUCAUUAUCUUUGUAAUGAGAUUACUGAAGAUUUCCUGCCCUAAGUCAAGUGCACGUGUGCACAAAAUGCCGUUAAACCAAUGAUAUGUCGCCCAUCUACGCAUGACAAAUAGAAUUGAAGUAAAACCUUUGUUCCAGAAGGUGCUUGUGGCAUAGUUGAGUAAAAAGAUGGCUGUUUGUUCGAUUUGCUUAUGUGAAUAUGUUGAUGGGGACAACUGAAACCAAACGUAUAAUUUCUAGGAGUUAAAAGUCUUUGGGUAAGAGCAGUGUUCGGCAUUGUUAUUGGCUGGAUGCGUUUCAUAUGAAGAUGGAUUCUAGAAGAUAUCAUUUGUGUAGUGAUGGAGGUUCGAUCUGAACGCGUUUUAUGGUGAUAUGCAUCGCCCUUCUUGUUCUUGAGUCAAGUCAGAACAGGAAGCUGUGGUCCUGAAUCCUUCCUGAGAACGAGAGGAAUUUAAAACCACAUUCAGUUUUUGUCUGCAUAUAUCAAAAGGCUCUUUGUGGGAGUUCAAGAUUACUUCACAGCGUAAUUGGAGUGGAAUGUCUUACAGCGUGCAAAGGGCUCCCUCGCUGCCAAUGGCGGUCAUCUACUGCAGACAGAUAAGACUCACCCAAGGAAAACGACAAAUAAUUCUACACUAUAAUUAAUUGACUCUUCCAUUUUCCAAUUAAAGCACUCAGCUUUGACUGGCAUCGGGUAUUUUCUGCUUAGACAGGAAAUAACUUUGGUUUUAGUUUAGUAAACGUUAAAUUAAGAAUUUAUCAAGAAACUCAUAGUUCAAGACAUAUCUUGAAACGUGAGAUUUCUAAGGUUCACUCUAUCUCCUUUCGUUUGAGAGAAAGGAAACAUUUUGUCCUAUAACUACCCUUAUAACGUCUCUGUAGUGAACAAACUACGACUAGAUAUCAGAAUAGAGCAAUUAAAAGCGAUUUCAGUUUUAGAAUUGUCGUUAGAUAGGUAAAUGGUUUAGCACAAACACAGACAGAAGUUUUCAGUGAUUUAUGACCUCUUUGCGAAAGUAUAAUUAUCUUCACCUCUGAGUAGUUGAGCAAUUAUUGCCUUUGACGGAAUUGGUCUACUUUCUUAUAUGUUGUACAAUAAUUUGCAACCGUCAAUCAAGAUUUUGCAGCACAAAUGUGAAAGGUUUGGCUGCCAUUGAAGUAAAGAUUGAAUUGAAAUUAUUUUGAAUAGGAGUUGCUCACUAGUUGUGUAAAUAGGUGUUUGAUGGCAAAGCGCCGCUUCAUUUUUGAGUUUACUUAUUAUUCAUUUCUACUCUCAUUGCAAACUUUUCAUCCAAAUUUCUUGUAGGCCUUUCCUCAUCAAGGACAAUUUCUUCUCCAUCACACAAAGUACGCUGGCUGUUUUCGUUUGCAUUUGCAGUUACGGUUCCCUUUGUUGUCAGACAAGAUGGCUUCCCGCGAGUUUCAGUGAUUUAUGAACCCUGACACGUCUUAGACGAUCGUCUUUGGAUGUCAAAAGAGUUAAAUUUAGAUUUUCACUUAAAGUUCUGAACGAAAUUAUUACUUAGAGAUGAGCGGAAACAGUCAGGGUACUGCUUGUCUGGAUAAGAAGGAAAACCGUGACUGUUAUGGAGAGUUUUUUAAUGAAAAUCAAUGGCUGCUUUGUAUCGCACAUUUGAGCUGUCUUUGGAGUGGCACUGUCACUACUGUUUUGUGGACAAUAUUGUGUAAUUUUUUUAUGAGGAAGUUAUUCUCCUAAAUUCUUACCAAAGCUGAUAGGCAAGUAUUUUAUAUAACUAUGAUAAGAAGAUGGAAGUGCCAUCAAAAUGGCGUACUCUUUUCUAAUGGAAAGAAUUCACUUCGUUAAGUUUAAAACGUUGCCUUUAACUUAGCUUUAGGACUUUGUUUCAAUUAAAGAAUCUAUCAACACAAUUUCUCUUUUACUGAAGUCGAAUGCCGUAGAGUGCCCAUAGAAAUAAAUAAAGACAGUUUAAAAUAGAAGAGUUCAGAAAGACAGCUCCUAAAGCGUGCCUCAUACUUCCCUUACGCUCGUAGAAUUCACGACUAAAACAGCGACAAACAAGGUAUACAUAGAGAGACGUAUGAAAAUAUCUUUUAUUACCUACAGGAGAGUAACAUCUAACAAGUGCUAUGUGACCUGUAUUUUAAAGUUAUCCUUCGAAGCAAUAAACGUAGAAAACGAGAA